rnacentral:misc_RNA from 1 species
GGUGAAUGUGAUAAGAACAAUUUGUCAUGAUAUUAAAAAUUCAUUUUAGGUAUUUUUGUUGCGAACCAUGCUUAAUUCCAAAGAAAAAUGUUGUUUUUUUCCCUUGUUUUUGAGAACAGUGAUAAAUGUUUAUUAUUAUUAGCAGUGAUAAACAAAGCUUAUAAAAGGGACUCUUGAAUUUGUUGUAGGAUCAUGUGCUUAAGUAUAGUUUAACCUUUUGCUUCUCUUAGCAAUAUAGAUUGCACCAUUACAGCGAUAGGUUCUUACGUACAGUGCAGAAAAAAAGGAUCAAAUAUGUCUAAACAAUAUUCAUCGGAGCAGAAGGUGCUAAUUGAAGGACUGAAGAAGCUUCUCAAUAGUGAGAAGGAUGAAUUAGACAACGAAGUUGCGUCAAAAAUUGAGAAGCUGAUUUCUGAGAUGCCAGAACACCAUCUUGAUCCAGUCCAGAGGAUUAAAAAUGGGUUUCAUUACUUCAUGAAAAACAAAUAUGAGUAUGAUACAAUUAUAUGUCACUACACAAUAAGCUAAUUGAUAGACAAUGGCUGGCUUGAUCUCAUUUGCAAAGAAAUUUUGCACCGUUUGAUUAGUUUUAAAUUGUUUCUUGCUUACCAUUUUAAAUCAGGGUUAUUUCAAAAACUCGAUUUCAACCUGAAUUACAUUAGUUUUAUUUUAUGAGAAUUUCUUUGUUCUUAUUAUUGCAGCCCUGCAGUUAUAGAAGGUCAGCAGCCCAAGGUAAUGUUUACCAGGAGAUAAAAAAACUACUAGCUAAUUAGAAUGGAAAACCAUUAAUCAUGAUUAAGAUAUAUAUUUAUUAAUUAAUGCUAACAUUUGGUUCAGUUCCUGGUUUUUGCAUGCUCAGACUCUCGAGUUAGCCCUUCUCAUGUCCUGGAUUUCCAACCUGGUGAAGCCUUCAUGUUCCGCAACAUUGCGAACCUGGUUCCAGCAUUUAACCAGUUGAGGUACUCUGGAGUUGGAGCAGUCAUUGAAUAUGCUGUCAAAUAUUUAGAAGUGGAAAACAUCCUGAUCAUUGGACAUAGCCACUGUGGUGGGAUAGAUACACUUAUGAGUCUUCCAGAGGACGGUUCUACUUCCAAUGACUUCAUAGAUGAUUGGGUCAAAAUUGGUUUGCCUGCCAAAGCCAAGGUCCGAGCAGAGCAUCCAAAUCUCUCACAUGAAGAACAAUGCCAUAUUUGUGAAAAGGAAGCAGUGAAUCUGUCACUAGUAAACAUACAGAGCUACCCAUAUGUUAGGGCAGCAAUGGCAAAGGGAAAACUAGCACUGAGAGGUGGCUACUAUAACUUUGUUGAAGGAAUCUUUGAGCUUUGGGAAAUCAAGCAUCAAAUUACACACCCUACCAUAAUUAGAGGCUGAAGUCUCUUUGCCCUCUUGGUUUUAAUUUCUUGCUCUUUUGCUCUAUAAGCAUGCACGUACGUUUUGUUUGCCUCUGGUGUUUGCAAUAAUGGAAUUAUGAAAGUAAGCGUGGUGGUAAUGAUGAAGGUAAUAAUUUCGUAAUCAAUAAAGCCAGGCACAUAUUUGCUGGUUCAUUUUGGCAGCACUACAGAUAAUCCUCUUAUUGGCAGUCAAGUGCCACAUUGCAAACAAUAUAUUUUUGCUAGGCAGAUGUCAUGUGGGUUGUUUACUUUGUUAUUUUUCCCAAUUCAAUAAUAUAUUUUUGCUUAUUUAAAAAAUAAAGUGGCCACGUUGCCCACAUUCUGUAAUGCUUCCAUGUUGUGUGGCAUCCAUGUGAUAUCUAUAGCUUAGUGGCGUUGGUUUAACUUCGCUUUAGUCCGGUGAUAAAGGUGAAACUAUUUUCACGUCCAGGUCCUGUUUUUGCGUCGUUCUUGUACUUUGUUCGUUCCUUUAAAGUCAAGUGUUCUUUGUAUUUCUUUCGAGGUUUUUUUUUUACUUAACAUGCUAAAUCGAGUGUAUUGAGAAAACUUUUUAAUUUGAGUGUACUGAAUUUAUUCAUUCUAAA